AUGCCUGCGCUCGCUGUCGACGCCGCCGCCCCCGUGGCCCACGCCUUCGCCGCGUCCUGCGACGCGUCGCCGCGCUUCGCCGCGCCGCUGCUGGGCCCCGCCGCCGCCGUCAAGCCCGAGAUGGCCGCGUGGUCGGCCGACCUCUCGUCGGCGCUCUACAACGUGGACGGCUGGGGCGCGCCCUACUUCUUCGUCAACGACGACGGCGACGUCGCGGUGCGCCCGCACGGCGCCGCCACGCUGCCCGGCCAGGAGAUCGACCUCGCCAAGGUGGUCGCCCGGGCCGCCGGCGCGCGCGCCGGCGGCGGGCUCGGCCUGGCCCUGCCGCUGCUCGUGCGCUUCCCCGACGUGCUGCGCCACCGCGUCGAGACCCUCAACGCCGCCUUCGCCUACGCCGUGCGCUCGACGGGCUACGCCGGGCGGUACCAGGGCGUCUACCCCGUCAAGUGCAACCAGGACCGGUACGUGGUGGAGGACAUCGUCGAGUUCGGCGCGCCCUUCGGGUUCGGCCUCGAGGCCGGCUCCAAGCCCGAGCUGCUGCUCACCAUGAGCUGCCUCGUCGCCCGCGGCAGCCCCGACGCCCUGCUCGUCUGCAACGGCUACAAGGACCUCGAGUACGUCUCGCUCGCGCUCAUCGCCCGCACCAUGGGCCUCAACACCGUCAUCGUGCUCGAGCAGGAGGAGGAGCUCGACAUUGUCGUCGAGGCCAGCCGCCGCCUCAACAUCCGCCCGGUGGUCGGCAUGCGCGCCAAGCUGCGCACCAAGCACGCCGGCCACUUCGGCGCCACCUCCGGCGAGAAGGGCAAGUUCGGCCUCAACGCCGCGCAGAUUCUCUCCGUGGUAUCCAAGCUCAAGGCCCUCGCCAUGCUCGACUGCCUCCAGCUCCUGCACUUCCACAUUGGCUCCCAGAUCCCCACCACCGCCCUGCUCGCCGACGGCGUCGGCGAGGCCGCGCAGAUCUACUGCGAGCUCGCCCGCCUCGGCGCGGCCAUGCGCGUCAUUGACGUCGGCGGCGGCCUCGGCAUCGACUACGACGGGACGCACUCGGCGCAGACGGACAUGUCGGUGGCCUACAGCCUGGAGGAGUACGCGGCGGCCGUGGUCGCCGCCGUCGGCCGCGUCUGCGACCGCAAGGGCGUGCAGCACCCCGUCAUCUGCAGCGAGAGCGGCCGCGCGCUGGUGUCGCACCACUCGGUCCUCAUCUUCGAGGCCUUCUCCGCGACGGCGCCGGCUGCCAACAUGAUGGACCCGGCCACCGCCUACCUGCUCGACGAGCUCACCGACGACUGCCGCAGCGACUACCGCAACCUCAUGGCCUCCGCCGUGCGCGGCGACUUCGACACCUGCGGCCUGUACGCGGACCAGCUGAAGCGGCGCUGCGCCGAGCAGUUCAAGGAGGGGGUCCUCGGGCUGGAGCACCUCGCCGCCGUGGACGGGCUCUGCGAGAUCGUCGCCCGCGGCAUGGGCGCGGCGGAGGGGCCGCGCAGGUACCACAUCAACCUGUCGGUGUUCACCUCGCUGCCGGACAUGUGGGCCAUCGAGCAGCUCUUCCCCAUCAUCCCCAUCCAGCGCCUCCAGGAGCGGCCCGCCGUGGACGGCGUGCUCUCGGACCUGACCUGCGACAGCGACGGCAAGGUGGACCAGUUCAUCGGCGGCAGGAGCAGCCUGCCCCUGCACGAGCUCCCCGCCCACGGCACCCGCGGCUACUACCUGGGCAUGUUCCUGGGCGGCGCCUACCAGGAGGCGCUGGGCGGCCUGCACAACCUGUUCGGCGGGCCGAGCGUGGUGCGCGUGUCCCAGAGCGACGGGCCGCACUGCUUCGCCGUGACGCGCGCCGCGCCGGGCCCGUCCUGCGCCGACGUGCUCCGCGCCAUGCAGCACGAGCCGGAGGUGAUGUUCGAGGUGCUCAAGCAGAGGACCACCGACGACGGCGCCACCGCCGCGGCCCUCGCCAGGGCCUUCGGGUCGAUGCCGUACCUGUCGUUCGACGCCGAGGAGGCGGUGGCCAUGAGCGGCGCGGAGUCGAGCGGUAUGAGCAGCGACUCGGAGGGGUCGGCCGCCGGCGCCGCCGAGGAUGAUGACGAGGAGUGGGAGUUCAUGCGCGGGCUCACCGUGUGA
rnacentral:rRNA from 1 species